AGCGAACGCUGGCGGCAGGCCUAACACAUGCAAGUCGAACGGAUCCUUCGGGAUUAGUGGCGGACGGGUGAGUAACACGUGGGAACGUGCCCUUUGGUUCGGAACAACUCAGGGAAACUUGAGCUAAUACCGGAUGUGCCCUUCGGGGGAAAGAUUUAUCGCCAUUGGAGCGGCCCGCGUCUGAUUAGCUAGUUGGUGAGGUAAAGGCUCACCAAGGCGACGAUCAGUAGCUGGUCUGAGAGGAUGAUCAGCCACAUUGGGACUGAGACACGGCCCAAACUCCUACGGGAGGCAGCAGUGGGGAAUCUUGCGCAAUGGGCGAAAGCCUGACGCAGCCAUGCCGCGUGAAUGAUGAAGGUCUUAGGAUUGUAAAAUUCUUUCACCAGGGACGAUAAUGACGGUACCCGGAGAGGAAGCCCCGGCUAACUUCGUGCCAGCCGCCGCGGUAACAC
rnacentral:rRNA from 1 species